rnacentral:tRNA from 1 species
CAGAAAAUAGUUUAAUUUAGAAUACUAGCCUUGGGUGCUAGUAGUGAGAGUUAGAAUCUCUUUUUUCUGG